rnacentral:rRNA from 1 species
GACGAACGCUGGCGGCGUGCUUAACACAUGCAAGUCGAACGGAAAGGCCCCUUUGGGGGUACUCGAGUGGCGAACGGGUGAGUAACACGUGAGUAACCUGCCCUUGACUUCGGGAUAACUUCAGGAAACUGGGGCUAAUACCGGAUAGGAAUCCUUGCUGCAUGGUGGGGGUUGGAAAGCUUCGGCGGUUUUGGAUGGACUCGCGGCUUAUCAGCUUGUUGGUGGGGUAGUGGCUUACCAAGGCUUUGACGGGUAGCCGGCCUGAGAGGGCGACCGGCCACAUUGGGACUGAGAUACGGCACAGACUCCGAAGGGAGGCAGCAGUGGGGAAUAUUGCACAAUGGGCGGAAGCCUGAUGAAGAAACGCCGCGUGCGGGAUGACGGCCUUCGGGUUGUAAACCGCUUUCAGCAGGGGCGAAGCUUGUGGUGACGGUACCUGAAGAAGAAGCACCGGCUAACUACGUG